GACAGAGGAUGCAAGCGUUAUCCGGAAUGAUUGGGCGUAAAGCGCGUGCAGGCGGCCUUGCAAGUCGGACGUGAAAUCCCACGGCUCAACCGUGGAAGUGCAUUCGAAACUGCGAGGCUGGAGUCCUGGAGAGGAAAGUGGAAUACUCGGUGUAGAGGUGAAAUUCGUAGAUAUCGAGUGGAACACCGGUGGCGAAGGCGGCUUUCUGGACAGGUACUGACGCUGAGACGCGAAAGCGUGGGGAGCAAACAGG
rnacentral:rRNA from 1 species